rnacentral:rRNA from 1 species
UACGUAGGGAGCAAGCGUUGUCCGGAAUCAUUGGGCGUAAAGCGCGCGUAGGUGGCCUCAUAAGUCCGCUGUGAAAGUCCAAGGCUCAACCUUGGAAAGCCGGUGGAUACUGUGAGGCUAGAGUACGGAAGAGGCGAGUGGAAUUCCUGGUGUAGCGGUGAAAUGCGCAGAUAUCAGGAGGAACACCAGCGGCGAAGGCGGCGCUCUGGGCCGGUACUGACACUGAGGAGCGAAAGCGUGGGUAGCAAACAGG